CGGGGGAGGCCGGCUCCUGGGCUGUGUCCCGGCGCCCUGUGCCUCCGGGGCCUGCGCUGCUGGAUUCGCGCUUCCGCCCCGCAGCCCCCU
rnacentral:pre_miRNA from 1 species